rnacentral:lncRNA from 1 species
UUCGGUCCUCCUCCUCCUUAAGAAAGAAGAAUAACCCUGGGGAGAAAGAGCUUCCACCAUGGCGAUCGUCAGACAAGCAUCCCACAGACAUCAUCCGCUUUAAUUAUCUAGACAACUGUGACCCAGAGCUCUUCAGGCUAGGAAGAAGAAAAAGAAAGGAAGUGACCCCAGACUUCAAGCAGCAGUUUCGAGAUAAGAAAAAUAAGCUUCAAGACAGAGCCAGGCUCAGGAAAGCACAGUCAUUGAUGUCAAGGAGAGAUCUGUUGUCACUAUGUCCCUGAGUUCCCCUCCAAAAGUUCCAGUUCGUCUCGCCUGGCCUCUGCAUCUGCCAGGGGCACCCUCAGAUCACGAAGCAACAACCGAAGUUCUCACGGAGCACCAUCAGAAUCACCCUGGGCUUCCAUCACCCUCUCUGAGGCUCCAGAGUCAAAGCUGACUUAAGGAUGGAAAAGGGCUUUUCUCUAAAUGACAAGGUGUUCUUCACAGCUCAGACCUGGAUUCUAACUAGUCCCUCUAUUAAACUCUUUUGGCCUAAGU